CUUCUCCUCGUCAUAUAUGCAACUUCGACAGUGGAAAAACGAGAGUGGAGAGCACCCCGGUAAUUAAUUAACUUCUCCCCAUGAGAUCGAUCUACGUACAUGCAUGCCAAUUACGAGAGAUUUCACUGCUUGCUUUAGAUAGGAUUAGGAGACAUGGUGAAGCAAAGGAGUGCACCCUGAGUUGGCCAGCCAUCGUGGCUUUCUCGAGCGUCAGCGUUUGCGUAGGAGACGACAAAUGCAGCAAAACAUCUCUGGUUUCAGCUGCAACACAAGUGGCUCUUCUUACGAGGCAGGGGACGGAGCUACAAAAUUAGUUCAUCGAGAUCAUCACCGGGUCAAAAUACAGUAAGUUUACCUAUUAGUAUCAUCUUAGCUGCUUAAAUAAUAAAAUAAU
rnacentral:lncRNA from 1 species